rnacentral:rRNA from 1 species
UGAGGUUAAGCGACUAAGCGUACACGGUGGAUGCCCUGGCAGUCAGAGGCGAUGAAGGACGUGCUAAUCUGCGAUAAGCGUCGGUAAGGUGAUAUGAACCGUUAUAACCGGCGAUUUCCGAAUGGGGAAACCCAGUGUGAUUCGUCACACUAUCGUUAAGUGAAUACAUAGCUUAACGAAGCGAACCGGGGGAACUGAAACAUCUAAGUACCCCGAGGAAAAGAAAUCAACCGAGAUUCCCCCAGUAGCGGCGAGCGAACGGGGAGGAGCCCAGAGUCUGAAUCAGCGCGUGUGUUAGUGGAACGGUCUGGAAAGUCCGGCGGUACAGGGUGAUAGCCCCGUACACUAAAAUGCACACGUUGUGAACUCGAAGAGUAGGGCGGGACACGUGGUAUCCUGUCUGAAUAUGGGGGGACCAUCCUCCAAGGCUAAAUACUCCUGACUGACCGAUAGUGAACCAGUACCGUGAGGGAAAGGCGAAAAGAACCCCGGCGAGGGGAGUGAAAAAGAACCUGAAACCGUGUACGUACAAGCAGUGGGAGCCUCUUUAUGGGGUGACUGCGUACCUUUUGUAUAAUGGGUCAGCGACUUAUAUUCUGUAGCAAGGUUAACCGUAUAGGGGAGCCGCAGGGAAACCGAGUCUUAACUGGGCGUUAAGUUGCAGGGUAUAGACCCGAAACCCGGUGAUCUAGCCAUGGGCAGGUUGAAGGUUGGGUAACACUAACUGGAGGACCGAACCGACUAAUGUUGAAAAAUUAGCGGAUGACUUGUGGCUGGGGGUGAAAGGCCAAUCAAACCGGGAGAUAGCUGGUUCUCCCCGAAAGCUAUUUAGGUAGCGCCUCGUGAACUCAUCUUCGGGGGUAGAGCACUGUUUCGGCUAGGGGGUCAUCCCGACUUACCAACCCGAUGCAAACUACGAAUACCGAAGAAUGUUAUCACGGGAGACACACGGCGGGUGCUAACGUCCGUCGUGAAGAGGGAAACAACCCAGACCGCCAGCUAAGGUCCCAAAGUCAUGGUUAAGUGGGAAACGAUGUGGGAAGGCACAGACAGCCAGGAUGUUGGCUUAGAAGCAGCCAUCAUUUAAAGAAAGCGUAAUAGCUCACUGGUCGAGUCGGCCUGCGCGGAAGAUGUAACGGGGCUAAACCAUGCACCGAAGCUGCGGCAGCGACACUAUGUGUUGUUGGGUAGGGGAGCGUUCUGUAAGCCGUUGAAGGUGGCCUGUGAGGGUUGCUGGAGGUAUCAGAAGUGCGAAUGCUGACAUAAGUAACGAUAAAGCGGGUGAAAAGCCCGCUCGCCGGAAGACCAAGGGUUCCUGUCCAACGUUAAUCGGGGCAGGGUGAGUCGACCCCUAAGGCGAGGCCGAAAGGCGUAGUCGAUGGGAAACAGGUUAAUAUUCCUGUACUCGGUGUUACUGCGAAGGGGGGACGGAGAAGGCUAUGUUAGCCGGGCGACGGUUGUCCCGGUUUAAGCAUGUAGGCGGAAGUUUAGGUAAAUCCGGUACCUUAUUAACGCUGAGGUGUGAUGACGAGGCACUACGGUGCUGAAGUAACAAAUGCCCUGCUUCCAGGAAAAGCCUCUAAGCAUCAGGUAACAACGAAUCGUACCCCAAACCGACACAGGUGGUCAGGUAGAGAAUACCAAGGCGCUUGAGAGAACUCGGGUGAAGGAACUAGGCAAAAUGGUGCCGUAACUUCGGGAGAAGGCACGCUGAUGGUAGGUGAAGCGACUUGCUCGUGGAGCUGAAAUCAGUCGAAGAUACCAGCUGGCUGCAACUGUUUAUUAAAAACACAGCACUGUGCAAACACGAAAGUGGACGUAUACGGUGUGACGCCUGCCCGGUGCCGGAAGGUUAAUUGAUGGGGUUAUCCGUAAGGAGAAGCUCUUGAUCGAAGCCCCGGUAAACGGCGGCCGUAACUAUAACGGUCCUAAGGUAGCGAAAUUCCUUGUCGGGUAAGUUCCGACCUGCACGAAUGGCGUAAUGAUGGCCAGGCUGUCUCCACCCGAGACUCAGUGAAAUUGAACUCGCUGUGAAGAUGCAGUGUACCCGCGGCAAGACGGAAAGACCCCGUGAACCUUUACUAUAGCUUGACACUGAACAUUGAGCCUUGAUGUGUAGGAUAGGUGGGAGGCUUUGAAGUGUGGACGCCAGUCUGCAUGGAGCCAACCUUGAAAUACCACCCUUUAAUGUUUGAUGUUCUAACGUAGACCCGUGAUCCGGGUUGCGGACAGUGUCUGGUGGGUAGUUUGACUGGGGCGGUCUCCUCCCAAAGAGUAACGGAGGAGCACGAAGGUUAGCUAAUCCUGGUCGGACAUCAGGAGGUUAGUGCAAUGGCAUAAGCUAGCUUGACUGCGAGCGUGACGGCGCGAGCAGGUGCGAAAGCAGGUCAUAGUGAUCCGGUGGUUCUGAAUGGAAGGGCCAUCGCUCAACGGAUAAAAGGUACUCCGGGGAUAACAGGCUGAUACCGCCCAAGAGUUCAUAUCGACGGCGGUGUUUGGCACCUCGAUGUCGGCUCAUCACAUCCUGGGGCUGAAGUAGGUCCCAAGGGUAUGGCUGUUCGCCAUUUAAAGUGGUACGCGAGCUGGGUUUAGAACGUCGUGAGACAGUUCGGUCCCUAUCUGCCGUGGGCGCUGGAGAAUUGAGGGGGGCUGCUCCUAGUACGAGAGGACCGGAGUGGACGCAUCACUGGUGUUCGGGUUGUCAUGCCAAUGGCAUUGCCCGGUAGCUAAAUGCGGAAAAGAUAAGUGCUGAAAGCAUCUAAGCACGAAACUUGCCCCGAGAUGAGUUCUCCCUGACUCCUUGAGAGUCCUGAAGGAACGUUGAAGACGACGACGUUGAUAGGUCGGGUGUGUAAGCGUAGCGAUACGUUGAGCUAACCGAUACUAAUGAACCGUGAGGCUUAACCUU